UACGUAGGGUGCAAGCGUUAAUCGGAAUUACUGGGCGUAAAGCGUGCGCAGGCGGCUUUGUAAGUCUGUCGUGAAAUCCCCGGGCUUAACCUGGGAAUGGCGAUGGAGACUGCAAGGCUAGAGUUUGGCAGAGGGGGGUAGAAUUCCACGUGUAGCAGUGAAAUGCGUAGAGAUGUGGAGGAACACCGAUAGCGAAGGCAGCCCCCUGGGUCAAAACUGACGCUCAUGCACGAAAGCGUGGGGAGCAAACAGG
rnacentral:rRNA from 1 species